GGUCGGAUGGUGUAGUUGGUUAUCACGUCAGUCUCACAUUUCUGGUCUCGAAAAAGAUUCUAGUUAGUGAAUCACUGAAGGUCCCCGGAUCGAGCCCGGGUUCGAUCA